CGGCGUGGAUUAGGCAUGCAGUCGAACGAGAACGGGUCUUUCGGGACUUAGUAAAGUGGCGAAAGGGUGAGUAGUACCUAGGUAACCUGUCCUGAAGUCGGGGAUAACGGCCGGAAACGGCCGCUAAUACCCGAUGUGGUCGCGGAGUCGCAUGGCUCUGCGACUGAAGGUAGCCUCUGAUUCAAGCUUCUGCUUCAGGAGGGGCCUCGGGCCUAUCAGCUUGUUGGUGGAGUAACGGCCCACCAAGGCUGGGACGGGUAGCCGGUCUGAGAGGAUGGUCGGCCACACUGGGACUGAGACACUGCCCAGACUCCUACGGGAGGCUGCAGUCGAGGAUCUUCCGCAAUGGACGAAAGUCUGACGGAGCGACGCCGCGUGCGGGAGGAAGGCCUUCGGGUUGUAAACCGCUGUCACCUGUUACGAAUCGUACCGAUGUGAAUAGCGUCGGUGCGUGACGAAGGCAGGAGAGGAAGCCACGGCUAACUUCGUGCCAGCAGCCGCGGUAAUACGAAGGUGGCAAGCGUUGUUCGGAAUCACUGGGCAUAAAGCGCGUGUAGGCGGCUCUGUAAGUCGGGUGUGAAAGCCCUCAGCUCAACUGAGGAACUGCGCCCGAAACUGCAUUGCUUGAGGCCUGGAGGGGAGAACGGAAUUCCCGGUGGAGCGGUGAAAUGCGUAGAUAUCGGGAGGAACGCCGGCGGCGAAAGCGGUUCUCUGGACAGGUUCUGACGCUGAGACGCGAAAGCUAGGGGAGCAAACGGGAUUAGAUACCCCGGUAGUCCUAGCCGUAAACGAUGGGCGCUAGGUAGUGCAGGUAUCCAUUCCGGCACUGCCGGAGCAAAUGUUUUAAGCGCCCCGCCUGGGGAGUACGGCCGCAAGGCUAAAACUCAAAGGAAUUGACGGGGGCUCACACAAGCGGUGGAGCAUGUUGCUUAAUUCGAAGCAACGCGAAAAACCUUACCCGGGUUUGA
rnacentral:rRNA from 1 species